rnacentral:rRNA from 1 species
UACGUAGGGGGCAAGCGUUGUCCGGAAUCAUUGGGCGUAAAGAGCGUGUAGGCGGCCCGGUAAGUCCGCUGUGAAAGUCGGGGGCUCAACCCUCGAAUGCCGGUGGAUACUGUCGGGCUAGAGUGCGGAAGAGGCGAGUGGAAUUCCUGGUGUAGCGGUGAAAUGCGCAGAUAUCAGGAGGAACACCGGUGGCGAAGGCGGGUCUCUGGGCCGUAACUGACGCUGAGGAGCGAAAGCGUGGGGAGCGAACAGG